rnacentral:lncRNA from 1 species
GGAUCGGCUUGCCCUGCUAGUUAGUUGGUCUUGGAUUUAUAGGCCCGUGAUAGUAUCUGACUUGUUCUGGUUGUUGGACGGAUAAGAGGGUUGUCAUGCCGGUAUGCAACAGGAAUGAGGGGCGAGGGGCACGUGUGAGGACGCGCGGCGAGACAUGGCGCUUGUAGCCCCUUCUCCGCUUUUGCCGUUGCUUCUGGCUUGUUGUUAUUUGCUCUCUAGUCUCUACGACUUGAGUACCUUUAAAAACGAGAAAUGAAUGCGACGUGUUACUGUAAAAAUUGACUGUAAUUUAUUUUAUUUUAUUUUAAUUUUUGAGGGGAAUUUACUGUAAUUAUUGGUAGCGGCUUCCUUUGGUUUGUAAGGAUUUUGUAAAAGAAUUCUUUCUAACUGUAAUGCAGAUGUUCAUAU